GGGUUGUGAGGUUAAGCGACUAAGCGUACACGGUGGAUGCCCUGGCAGUCAGAGGCGAUGAAGGACGUGCUAAUCUGCGAAAAGCGUCGGUAAGGUGAUAUGAACCGUUACAGCCGGCGAUGUCCGAAUGGGGAAACCCAGUGCAAUUCGUUGCACUAUCGUUAACUGAAUACAUAGGUUAACGAGGCGAACCGGGGGAACUGAAACAUCUAAGUACCCCGAGGAAAAGAAAUCAACCGAGAUUCCCCCAGUAGCGGCGAGCGAACGGGGAGCAGCCCAGAGUCUGAAUCAGCUUGUGUGUUAGUGGAACGGUCUGGAAAGUCCGACGGUACAGGGUGAUAGUCCCGUACACCAAAAUGCACAGGCUGUGAACUCGAAGAGUAGGGCGGGACACGUGGUAUCCUGUCUGAAUAUGGGGGGACCAUCCUCCAAGGCUAAAUACUCCUGACUGACCGAUAGUGAACCAGUACCGUGAGGGAAAGGCGAAAAGAACCCCGGCGAGGGGAGUGAAAAAGAACCUGAAACCGUGUACGUACAAGCAGUGGGAGCACCUUCGGGUGUGACUGCGUACCUUUUGUAUAAUGGGUCAGCGACUUAUAUUCUGUAGCAAGGUUAACCGUAUAGGGGAGCCGCAGGGAAACCGAGUCUUAACUGGGCGUUAAGUUGCAGGGUAUAGACCCGAAACCCGGUGAUCUAGCCAUGGGCAGGUUGAAGGUUGGGUAACACUAACUGGAGGACCGAACCGACUAAUGUUGAAAAAUUAGCGGAUGACUUGUGGCUGGGGGUGAAAGGCCAAUCAAACCGGGAGAUAGCUGGUUCUCCCCGAAAGCUAUUUAGGUAGCGCCUCGUGAACUCAUCUUCGGGGGUAGAGCACUGUUUCGGCUAGGGGGUCAUCCCGACUUACCAACCCGAUGCAAACUACGAAUACCGAAGAAUGUUAUCACGGGAGACACACGGCGGGUGCUAACGUCCGUCGUGAAGAGGGAAACAACCCAGACCGCCAGCUAAGGUCCCAAAGUCACAGUUAAGUGGGAAACGAUGUGGGAAGGCACAGACAGCCAGGAUGUUGGCUUAGAAGCAGCCAUCAUUUAAAGAAAGCGUAAUAGCUCACUGGUCGAGUCGGCCUGCGCGGAAGAUGUAACGGGGCUAAACUGUGCACCGAAGCUGCGGCAGCGACACUUAGGUGUUGUUGGGUAGGGGAGCGUUCUGUAAGCCUGCGAAGGUGGCCUGUGAGGGUUGCUGGAGGUAUCAGAAGUGCGAAUGCUGACAUAAGUAACGAUAAUGCGGGUGAAAAGCCCGCACGCCGGAAGACCAAGGGUUCCUGUCCAACGUUAAUCGGGGCAGGGUGAGUCGACCCCUAAGGCGAGGCCGAAAGGCGUAGUCGAUGGGAAACAGGUUAAUAUUCCUGUACUUGGUGUUACUGCGAAGGGGGGACGGAGAAGGCUAUGUUAGCCGGGCGACGGUUGUCCCGGUUUAAGCAUGUAGGCGGAGGUUCCAGGUAAAUCCGGUACCUUUUAACGCUGAGGUGUGAUGACGAGGCACUACGGUGCUGAAGUAACAAAUGCCCUGCUUCCAGGAAAAGCCUCUAAGCAUCAGGUAACAUUAAAUCGUACCCCAAACCGACACAGGUGGUCAGGUAGAGAAUACCAAGGCGCUUGAGAGAACUCGGGUGAAGGAACUAGGCAAAAUGGUGCCGUAACUUCGGGAGAAGGCACGCUGAUAUGUAGGUGAAGCCCCUGCGGGUGGAGCUGAAAUCAGUCGAAGAUACCAGCUGGCUGCAACUGUUUAUUAAAAACACAGCACUGUGCAAACACGAAAGUGGACGUAUACGGUGUGACGCCUGCCCGGUGCCGGAAGGUUAAUUGAUGGGGUUAUCCGUAAGGAGAAGCUCUUGAUCGAAGCCCCGGUAAACGGCGGCCGUAACUAUAACGGUCCUAAGGUAGCGAAAUUCCUUGUCGGGUAAGUUCCGACCUGCACGAAUGGCGUAAUGAUGGCCAGGCUGUCUCCACCCGAGACUCAGUGAAAUUGAACUCGCUGUGAAGAUGCAGUGUACCCGCGGCAAGACGGAAAGACCCCGUGAACCUUUACUAUAGCUUGACACUGAACAUUGAGCCUUGAUGUGUAGGAUAGGUGGGAGGCUUUGAAGCGUGGACGCCAGUCUGCGUGGAGCCAACCUUGAAAUACCACCCUUUAAUGUUUGAUGUUCUAACGUUGGCCCCUUAUCGGGGUUGCGGACAGUGUCUGGUGGGUAGUUUGACUGGGGCGGUCUCCUCCCAAAGAGUAACGGAGGAGCACGAAGGUUAGCUAAUCCUGGUCGGACAUCAGGAGGUUAGUGCAAUGGCAUAAGCUAGCUUGACUGCGAGCGUGACGGCGCGAGCAGGUGCGAAAGCAGGUCAUAGUGAUCCGGUGGUUCUGAAUGGAAGGGCCAUCGCUCAACGGAUAAAAGGUACUCCGGGGAUAACAGGCUGAUACCGCCCAAGAGUUCAUAUCGACGGCGGUGUUUGGCACCUCGAUGUCGGCUCAUCACAUCCUGGGGCUGAAGUAGGUCCCAAGGGUAUGGCUGUUCGCCAUUUAAAGUGGUACGCGAGCUGGGUUUAGAACGUCGUGAGACAGUUCGGUCCCUAUCUGCCGUGGGCGCUGGAGAAUUGAGGGGGGCUGCUCCUAGUACGAGAGGACCGGAGUGGACGCAUCACUGGUGUUCGGGUUGUCAUGCCAAUGGCAUUGCCCGGUAGCUAAAUGCGGAAGAGAUAAGUGCUGAAAGCAUCUAAGCACGAAACUUGCCCCGAGAUGAGUUCUCCCUGAGACUUUAAGUCUCCUGAAGGAACGUUAAAGACGAUGACGUUGAUAGGUCGGGUGUGUAAGCGUAGCGAUACGUUGAGCUAACCGAUACUAAUGAACCGUGAGGCUUAACCUUACAACGCCGAAGGUGUUU
rnacentral:rRNA from 1 species